ACUGUCAUCAUAGAACCUUCAUCAAGUAACCAAUGGAAGCAGAUGCCAAGAUCCACAGCCAAGCAACAGGCCAUGCUCCAGGAGUUCAGUUGAAGAGAGUGAAGAGAGAUUCUGUGAACUAGGGCAUCAAGAUCAUGAUGGGGUAUUGGCAGCAAGGGGUAUAUUAGCCCAUGUUGGUAUGAAUAAAGAAAAGCUGCUUCCCUGACGAACUGAAACUGGGUGACUAGAGUGGUGUUUAACCUCUGCGUUCCUCGCCAGAUUUCGUGCUCCAGCUGUGCAGUUUGAAGCAAGUGGAGGUCACUACUGGGACCUGGAAAGAGGCGUAAGCGAACGAGGCUCACCCUAAAAGAAGGGGUGGGGAAUUGAAACAUUGCUUGAAUAAUUGCUGGAGUGCAAAUUGGUCCCAUGCAAUGAUUGUGAGAAUACCUGCAUUUGCAGUGAUGCCUCUGGAGAGUCCUUCUGAUCAGUUUCCACUGCAUCUGAAGAGGAGAAGAAGAGACUUUGGCAUUACUGCCGGAAUUGUUGCAGCUGUGGCUGCAUCUGCUGUUGCUGCUACAGCUGAUGGGCUUGCAUUAUCUCAGACUGUUCAACAGGCUGCCAUUAUCAACACAUUAUCUGAGAGGGUGGCUGGUGCCUUGGACAUUCAGCAAACAUUGAAUGG